AGUAGAGCGGCGAACUGGUGAGCACAAGAUGGACAACGUGCCCUUCAGCGGGGAAUAACCUCUGGAAACAGGGGCUAAUGCCGCAUGAGCUCCGGGGGACCUCGGUCCCACGGGGGAAAGACCCACGGGUCACUGAAGGAGCGGUCCAUCUCCCAUUAGCUUGUUGGUGGGUGACGGCCCACCAAGGCAACGAUGGGUAGCUGGUCUGAGAGGAUGGUCAGCCACACUGGGACUGAGAUACGGCCCAGACUCCUACGGGAGGCAGCAGUCUAGAGGCUUCGGCAAUGGGGGAAACCCUGACCGAGCGACGCCGCGUGGGGGAUGAAGCACCUCGGUGUGUAAACCCCUGUUGUCCGGGGAGAAGGCCCAGGUGGGAAACCUGGGAUUGACUGUCCCAGAUGAGGAAGCCCCGGCUAACUCCGUG
rnacentral:rRNA from 1 species